rnacentral:pre_miRNA from 1 species
AGUGGAAUUGCUGGGUUGCAUGGUCAGUUUAACAUUUUAAGAAACUGCCAAACUGUCUUUCAAAAUGGCUCUGCCACUUUUCACUCCCACUAACAAU